rnacentral:rRNA from 1 species
CCUACGGGAGGCAGCAGUGGGGAAUAUUGCACAAUGGGCGAAAGCCUGAUGCAGCAACGCCGCGUGAAGGAAGAAGGGUUUCGGCUCGUAAACUUCUAUCAACAGGGACGAAAGAAAUGACGGUACCUGAAUAAGAAGCCCCGGCUAACUACGUGCCAGCAGCCGCGGUAAUACGUAGGGGGCAAGCGUUAUCCGGAUUUACUGGGUGUAAAGGGAGCGUAGACGGCUAAUCAAGUCAGAAGUGAAAACCCAGGGCUCAACCUUGGGAGUGCUUUUGAAACUGAGUAGCUAGAGUGCAGGAGAGGUAAGCGGAAUUCCUAGUGUAGCGGUGAAAUGCGUAGAUAUUAGGAGGAACACCAGUGGCGAAGGCGGCUUACUGGACUGUAACUGACGUUGAGGCUCGAAAGCGUGGGGAGCAAACAGGAUUAGAUACCCGGGUAGUC